UACGUAGGGUGCAAGCGUUAAUCGGAAUACUGGGCGUAAAGCGUGCGCAGGCGGUUUUGUAAGUCUGUCGUGAAAUCCCCCGGGCUCAACCUGGGAAUUGCGAUGGAGACUGCAAGGCUAGAAUCUGGCAGAGGGGGGGUAGAAUUCCACGUGUAGCAGUGAAAUGCGUAGAGAUGUGGAGGAACACCCGAUGGCGAAGGGCAGCCCCC
rnacentral:rRNA from 1 species